rnacentral:rRNA from 1 species
UGGUGGGUUGCCUUGUCAGGUUGAUUCCGGUAACGAACGAGACCUCAGCCUGCUAAAUAGUCAGCAUCGCACCUGCGGUGCGCAGACUUCUUAGAGGGACUAUUGGCGUUCAGCCAAUGGAAGUAUGAGGCGAUAACA